rnacentral:rRNA from 1 species
AGUGAACGCUGGCGGCGUGCCUAAUACAUGCAAGUCGAACGGAAUUUAAAAGAGCUUGCUCUUUUGAAUUUAGUGGCGCACGGGUGAGUAAUAUAUAGCUAAUCUGCCCCCUGCUGGAGGACAACAGUUAGAAAUGACUGCUAAUACUCCAUACUCCUUUUUACCAUAAGAUAAAUCGGGAAAGAAUUUCGGCAAGGGAUGAGACUAUAUCGUAUCAGCUAGUCGGUAGGGUAACGGCCUACCGAGGCUAUGACGCGUAACUGGUCUGAGAGGAUGAUCAGUCACAUUGGAACUGAGACACGGUCCAAACUCCUACGGGAGGCAGCAGUAGGGAAUAUUGCGCAAUGGGGGAAACCCUGACGCAGCAACGCCGCGUGGAGGAUGACACUUUUCGGAGCGUAAACUCCUUUUGUUAGGGAAGAAUAAUGACGGUACCUAACGAAUAAGCACCGGCUAA